CGCUGAAGGCAUCUAAGCGUGAAGCCCCCCUCAAGAUGAGAUAUCCCAUGCGAAAGCAGUAAGACCCCUUGAAGACGACGAGGUAGAUAGGGCAGAGGUGGAAGUGUGGCAACACAUGGAGCUGACUGUUACUAAUAGGUCGAGGGCAUAACCAAA
rnacentral:rRNA from 1 species